rnacentral:rRNA from 1 species
AUUGAACGCUGGCGGCAGGCCUAACACAUGCAAGUCGAGCGGAUGAAGGGGGCUUGCUCCUGGAUUCAGCGGCGGACGGGUGAGUAAUGCCUAGGAAUCUGCCUGGUAGUGGGGGAUAACGUCCGGAAACGGGCGCUAAUACCGCAUACGUCCUGAGGGAGAAAGUGGGGGAUCUUCGGACCUCACGCUAUCAGAUGAGCCUAGGUCGGAUUAGCUAGUUGGUGGGGUAAAGGCCUACCAAGGCGACGAUCCGUAACUGGUCUGAGAGGAUGAUCAGUCACACUGGAACUGAGACACGGUCCAGACUCCUACGGGAGGCAGCAGUGGGGAAUAUUGGACAAUGGGCGAAAGCCUGAUCCAGCCAUGCCGCGUGUGAAGAAGGUCUUCGGAUUGUAAAGCACUUUAAGUUGGGAGGAAGGGCAGUAAGUUAAUACCUUGCUGUUUUGACGUUACCAACAGAAUAAGCACCGGCUAACUUCGUG